rnacentral:lncRNA from 10 species
CCCAGAUACAUUCCACUGCUAACAUACUUUGGUGCCACGUGACUCGGAUACAUUCCCUAGUGGACCAGGAGCCCCAAUUUAUCCUGUGACCUCAAGAGGAGAAAAAUUUAUCCAACUCGCACAGGCCAUCAAUAUCCAGAUGAUCCUCAGUGAGGGAUACCCUCCUGUCAAUAUUCAAGAGUCAUUCUUCUACAGAAGACCCUACACUGUCCAUAAGUGAGAAAUGACAGGGGCAAAACACUGCUGCUGUGUCCUUUGGACCUAACUGGAUAACACUUUCACUAACCCAUGGAGUUACUUUCAUGCCCUGAUAGCUAACAAGAGGCCAAGACUCACAGAACAACCACCACCACACCUGUCUGCAGUAAGCAAUUACCGAAGACAGAUCUUCGUCCAUUUGUCCUAAAGAAUUGGGGUCUUUGCGCCUUGAUGGGUGGAAUACUAUGGUAGGUAGCUAGUCAGACAUAAGCAGGGCAGAAGAGGGCCCCCUUCCCCAACCAGGAAUGUCAGGCAACCAUCACAUGAUGGUCAGGCAUUGUUAAACUGCCUCUGUAAAAUAAUUGUUCACAGCCCAUGCCAGAGAAAGGCAGUCUCUCAAUAAAAGGAAACACCUGAAACUGGGGACCAGCAGCUUCCCGAUAAGAUCUCAGGAGUUGGGUGAUUGGGCUUAAGGGUGUGCAUGAAGAAGCAAAACGGAAGAGUUUAACCGGCAUAUGACUUCCUUAGGACAUUUGACUGGUAAUGGAAGAACACCUCAAGUGAGCAUGUGUACAACUACAGUAAACACACUGCUCAUGCUUCCCUGCCAAACACCUGCAGGCCACUGCACAAGUAGAAAGCACACCCCAAGGGAAUUAUCAGGGGUGAAAGGAGAAAAGACCCCAAAAGUAUGCCAAUAUUUAAAGCCUUAAGUCAAAGGUCAAACCAUGCACUUGAUCUUUCAAGUCACCUACUUGGUACCUCUUCCAAAUGUACUUUACUUCCUUUCAAUCCUGCCCUAAAACUCUUUAAUAAAUUUAUCUCAUGCUCUAAAACAUACCUUGAUCUCUGCUUCUGCCUUAUGCCCCUCAGUUCUUUGUUCUAAACAGCCCUUUUUUUCUAAGGAGGCAAGAAUUGAGGUUGCUGCAGACGCCUACAUAUUUGUCGCCAGCAACAUACUUUGGUGCUGUGUGACUCAGAUAAAUUCCACUACUAACAUUUAUAGCAAAUUGUUCCAAUUUCUACUCCUGGACA